AAUCAAGCACAGACCUUUUAACCAAUGUGGUUUCUACUAAAACAAGCAGCACCUGACUGCAAUCAACUGAUUACACUUAUAAAACACCAGAUUGGUGAAAAGGUGUGGUCUUGUUUUGUUGGAGUGAAAUCCUGCACCCACUGCGGCACUAUGUGGAAUCGUUUGGAGACCACUGCUGUCGCGCCGGCGUUUAUUCCUACACGUCGACAACAAAUCAGACGAUUUGAGCCGGAAGCCAUCGCCAGGCAAGAAGUGAUGAACGUCAUUUGUUUACGUGCCUCCCCCUCCAGGCAGUCUCCUGCCUUUUCUGGUUCAACAUUGAGACCUGGACUGUGCUGUUAAUUUCUCAGCGCCCUAUUAGAAGAAGACGACUGACAUGUUGGACUUGAUAAGAAGAGAGAUAAAAAGACCCUCGAAUGAAGUCGCACCCCCAGGAAUUCCAACUAAUGAUCUCUACACCAAAAGUUAUUCCAUUCAAUAUCAUUUUCCAUACAACAUACUAAAACUACUGUACAUGUUCUUUA